CUGUAGCUCAGUUGGUAGAGCAGAGGACUGAAAAUCCUCGUGUCGGUGGUUCGAUUCCGCCCGG
rnacentral:tRNA from 1 species